rnacentral:rRNA from 1 species
UACGUAGGGUGCAAGCGUUGUCCGGAAUUAUUGGGCGUAAAGAGCUCGUAGGCGGUUUGUUGCGUCGGCUGUGAAAUCCCCGAGGCUCAACCUCGGGUCUGCAGUCGAUACGAGCAAACUAGAGUGUUGCAGGGGAGACUGGAAUUCCUGGUGUAGCGGUGAAAUGCGCAGAUAUCAGGAGGAACACCGGUGGCGAAGGCGGGGUCUCUGGGCA